rnacentral:misc_RNA from 1 species
GAUGAGGAACGCAGCGAAAUGCGAUACGUAAUGUGAAUUGCAGAAUUCAGUGAAUCAUCGAAUCUUUGAACGCAUAUUGCGCUCUCUGGUAUUCCGGAGAGCAUGCUUGUUUGAGUAUCAGUAAACACCUCAACUCCCUUUUCUUUUUUGAAAUUGGAGCUGGACUUGAGUGAUCCCAACGCUUUCUUCCAAGAAAGUGGCGGGUUGCUUGAAAUGCAGGUGCAGCUGAACUUUUCUCUGAGCUAUAAGCAUAUCUAUUUAGUCUGCCUAAAAAACAGAUUAUUACCUUUGCUGCAGCUAACAUAAAGGAGACUAGUUCUUGUGCUGACUGAUGCAGGAUUCACAGAGACAGCUUCGGCUGACUUUGUAAACUCGAUCUCAAAUCAAGUAAGACUACCCGCUGAACUUAAGCAUAUCAAUAAGCGGAGGA